CUCCAGUUCAUUCACCGCCCCCACCAAGUCCUUACUAUAGUUCACCACCGCCCCCGCCGCCACAUCAUUCACCUCCACCACCUCCCCACUCGCCACCCCCGCCUCCACCUAUCUAUCCAUACGCAUCACCGCCACCGCCACCCGUGCAUUCCCCACCACCACCUGUCCAUUCUCCACCACCUCCAUGCAUAGAACCGCCUCCUCCUUCUCCACCACCCCCAUCACCACCUCCAUGCAUAGAACCGCCUCCUCCUCCUUCUCCACCACCAUGUGUAGAAUAUUCGCCACCUCCACCAUCACCACACUCACCACCGCCACCACCAGUUCAUUACUUGCCUCCACCAUCACCAUCACCCCCACCACCACCUGUGUAUGCUUCUCCGCCACCUCCACCAUCUCUGCCUCCCCCAGUUUACUACCAUUCUCCGCCCCCACCCUCACCACCUCCUCCAACCCCAUGUGAAAAUCCUCCAC
rnacentral:lncRNA from 1 species